rnacentral:sRNA from 1 species
AAGAUUCAAACAACCAACCCUGAUUUCCUGCUUCUCCUUUUCAUGAGUGUUCCUGUGGUCUCUGCACCUCCUUUCUUGUGUAAUGUUUAACAGCAGCAAAAUUAAAACAUGUAAGUUCCAUGCAGCAGUCCUCAAGGCCAUGAUAGCAACUGCUGCUGGUGGUGCCCGAUGGGGAAGGGGCUGCCAAACUAUGCAUCUGACCAAGGACUAAUAUCCAGAAUCUACAAGAACACAAACAACUCAACAAGAAAAAACAAUCCCAUUAAAAAGUGGGUAAAGGACAUAAACAGACAUUUUCCAAAGGAAUACAUACAAGUGGCCAAGAAACAUAUGAAAAAUGCUCAACGUCACUAAUCACCAGAUAAAUGCAAAUUAAAACCACAAUGAGAUAC